rnacentral:rRNA from 1 species
UUACAGCCAUAUCACGUUGAAACCGCCGGUUCUCGUACGAUAACCGAAGUUAAGCAACGUCGACUCUGGUCAGUACCUAGAUGGGUGACCGUUUAAGAAUACGAGUCG